rnacentral:rRNA from 1 species
UUGGGAAUAUUGCACAAUGGGGGUAACCCUGAUGCAGCAAUGCCGCGUGAGUGAAGAAGGUCUUCGGAUCGUAAAGCUCUUUCGAUAGUGAAGAAAGGAAACUUGACGGUAGCUAUAGAAGAAGCACCGGCUAACUUCGUGCCAGCAGCCGCGGUAAUACGAAGGGUGCAAGCGUUGUUCGGAAUCAUUGGGCGUAAAGCGCGUGUAGGCGGCUAUGUAAGUCGGACGUGAAAUCCCGGGGCUCAACCCC